GGUCUUGUGAUGUAAUGGUUAUCAUACAGGACUUUGAAUCCUGUUAUCCGAGUUCGAUUCUCGGCAAGACCU
rfam:Lichtheimia corymbifera JMRC:FST:9682, FST 9682, WGS project CBTN01000000 data, contig: SCAF00003